UUACGGCAAUAUCAGGUUGAAAUACAUAUUCCCGUACGAUCACUGAGGUUAAGCAACAUCGAGACAAGUUAGUAAAAAGAUGGGUGACCGCUUGAGAAUACCAGGUGCUGUAAG